rnacentral:rRNA from 1 species
AGAGAAUAGAUACCCGGGUAGUCCACGCCGUAAACGAUGGGCACUAGGUGCUGGGGGGAGCGACCCCUUCAGUGCCGCAGCUAAACGCGUUAAGUGCCCCGCCUGGGGAGUACGGCCGCAAGGCUGAAACUCAAAGGAAUUGACGGGGGCCCGCACAAGCGGUGGAGCAUGUGGUUUAAAUUCGAAGCAACGCGAAGAACCUUACCUAGGUUUGACAUGCAUCUGAAAUCUUCUGGAAACAGGGGACCUUCUUCGGAACAGAUGCACAGGUGCUGCAUGGCUGUCGUCAGCUCGUGUCGUGAGAUGUUGGGUUAAGUCCCGCAACGAGCGCAACCCUUGCCCCGUGUUACUAACAGGUAAAGCUGAGGACUCUCGGGGGACUGCCGGCGUCAAGCCGGAGGAAGGUGGGGACGACGUCAAGUCAUCAUGGCCCUUACGCCUAGGGCGACACACGUCCUACAAUGGCCGAGACAACGGGUCGCAAGACCGUGAGGUGGAGCCAAUCCCUUAAACUCGGUCUCAGUUCAGAUUGCAGUCUGCAACUC